rnacentral:lncRNA from 1 species
CUUUUACGUCGGCCUUCGCGAGCGUCUGGGCGGGUGGUAGGAACAAUGGCGCUGUCUUCAGUGGCACAGUGGAGCAGCUCUGAAGAUGCAAAGAUACACGAAAAAACUUCCAGAACAUCUGGGAGAAUAUUUAAUGGAAAAUCGCUUGGUUAAAACCUGACACUUUUAACAGUGAACAGCGUUCUGAGUGUGGACGAGUAGCCAGUGAAGAUAAUGAAUGUCGAAUGUGACUGACUAGCAGCUUCAUUUUGAAUGAGGGUCGCUGUCUGCCCAUUGAUAGAGGCCAGAUUGUCUUGGAAGUUCCAAAGUUGCAACGAUUUCUGGCUAGUGCCACGAGGUUUACUUGACUGUUGUGUGAAAAGCUGAUAAGAAAACCAUCCAGAAAAAAGCUCUUCGUUUUACAAACAUGAAAAUAAAACAUGUAAUUUUG